UGAAAAAUCUCCUCAGAGGGUGUCAGCAGGCCUUGUCUCUUCCUUCCUCCUUUAUGCUGGCAACAGUACAGAUGAUCUGACUGGAACGGAAACUCCUAUUUUGCACCAUGGGAGAGCAUGCUAAAGACAAUGGAACGAGAGAAGAGAAAGACCCUGAGUCCUUGAUGUUCAUGGAACUCCCAUGAUGGUGAUGAAUUACCUACAUUCGGACUUUUUAAAAUGAUUAAGGAAGAGGAACAAUCUUCUGUCCUAGGUUGUGCAUGUGGAGGUGUGGAACCCAAAGCCAUGGCAGCUGAGAGUCCCUGGGGCCAUAAGCCAGAGGCAUGCUGAAGAGUCGCAAGGAAGGUGCUAUCGGGUUGCACCUAGGGGAAGCUGGUAAGUCUGUGUGGAAACUGGUCACCACAACAGACAGUGAAGAAGUGGAUGGAGAGGAUUUGGAGUACUCCCCUAGCAGUGUUCCGUAUUUGCUCUUUGCCUGGGAUAGAAGUCUGCAUCUGGCCAGGGAAGUAGACCUCAAGACAUGGGGUCCGUGCUCCCUCCCGCUGAAUAGGAGUGGACUUGUGGCUCACUGUAACCGAUAGAAUACGCUGGAAAUGACCUUGUGUGCCUUCUGAAGCAAGUUCAGAGAACGUGAGGCAAGUUCUACUUUGUGAGCUGGGACACUCGGGAGCUGGGAGCUGCCAUGUCAGCAGCCAGCCUACCCUGAGGAUCCCAAGCUGUGCGAAAGCUGACACUGCCUGCAAAGGCAUUGGUUGAAACUCCAGCUGACCACGCAGCGUCAACUACCAGAGAGAAGAGCCCUUGAGUCUUCUCCGCUGAGCCCCGGCGAUCACGCGGGUAAGACAAGCCAUUCCCCACUGUGCUCAGUCUGAAUUCCUGACUCACAAAAUCCAGAAAGCAUCAUAAAGCGGCUGUUUAAGCAGCUAAGUUUUGAGGGAGACUUAACGUAUUAAAUGAAGGUCAAGUAACCGCGCAGCACGUUGUGUAGAUGAGAGACGUACCGCCGUUUGAGCAGCAAAAAGAAGCGGAGGAGUGGACUCGUCAUAAAGCACGAGGCGUUAUAGGCCUCUGGAACUCUUUCACGACUAAUGAAAUUCGUGCUUUUUGUGAAUCUGUUUCAGCAAAAUAUGAUCCUUCACAUUCAGUUAAUGUGAAUUUGAAUUUUAGAACUCAUAUGGUUUUGUUUUUAUGUAUUAUGUAAGUUAAUUUUGGUUCUCCGGUUGUUUAAAAAACUAUAAACAAAAGAAGGUGAUAUAUAACUAGUUGAAGCUGAUACAUAUAGGAUGCAUAUUACAAUAAGAGUAAUUUAGGUCAACCCUGAAAAAGUCCUUAAAAAUCAUUUCCAUUAAAAGGGUGCAUGCAAUAAUCAGAUUCGGGAAACACUACUUUGUAGUGUUAUCAGCUACCUUCUGCUUAAAAACCCACCAAAAUACUCUACUGCCUGUUGCCUUUGAAUUAAGUCCAAGCACCUCUGUAAGAAAACACAAGGCCCUUCACGAUCUCCCUCAGAUCUUCCUUCCCUUCAUCCAUUUGCCCUGUGUUCCAGCCACCCUGAACUUCUCCCCCAUCUCCUCAGAAACUCCUACCCUUCCUUAAAGACUCAGUUCAACUGCCACUUCCUCCGUGAAGUCUUUACGGAUUCAUAGGAUUCCGUCCGCUGUGCUCUCACCAUGUUUCCGUCCAGGCCUGGCGGAAAACAAGGGGCACAUUUGAAAACAUUACCUGAAAGCAGCUGUGACUUUUGGUCGCACAUGCAGGCAGCCCAUUGUGGAAGGAGCAGCAGAUUUAUACCUGACCUCGUGUUUAUCCCUUCCUCUGAUGUGCUGCCAGGGUCCUGUUGGCUGAACCCAACCAGAAGCCAAAGGGCAAAGAAACCCACUGACACAGUCGUCCGUACAGAUCAGCCUUCCCAGGGAAAAGCAAGGUGGAGAAGGAUGGAGGGAGGCUGUGGGAUGAGAGGGGAGCAAACCAUAUCCAAGCUCUUUAUUUAUACGUGAAUGACAGACAUUCUAUCGCAACCACCUAUUUUCAUGAGUGCCUUCCCCCUGGACUCUGACCCUGCCACCAUUACCUCCACAGUCUCUGCCCUUGGAAAAGGGCGUGGACAGAGGAGUCUCUUAGGAAGCGGUUUUUGAAUUAAUGAAUUGAUAAGGGAAUGGCAUAGAUGAGAACAGCAAGAGCAUAACUGGUGCUCUUGAAUGGUUUUCAAUUUUUAUUUUUAAAUGCUGUCUCUACAGUUGUUUUAUUUCUGUCUUUUGGAAUACACCCUCCCCCUUUUUUUCUGUAAUAGAGUUCUUGUGGGGUUUUUUUUUUCCCUAAGCAAAGCAGCUAUUUGUAUUGUAUUUUCGUUUAUUUGAAUCUUGUUACUGUGAUUUUAGCUCUUCAAGCCAGUUAGGAUUAUAUCUUAUAAUAAAGCUCAUUUUAAUCUGUUUUA